CCUACGGGAGACAGCAGUAGGGAAUCUUCCGCAAUGGGCGAAAGCCUGAUGGAGCAACGCCGCGUGGGUGAUGAAGGUCUUCGGAUCGUAAAACCCUGUUGUUAGAGAAGAAAGUACGUGUGAGUAACUGUGCACGUUUCGACGGUAUCUAACCAGAAAGCCACGGCUAACUACGUGCCAGCAGCCGCGGUAAUACGUAGGUGGCAAGCGUUAUCCGGAUUUAUUGGGCGUAAAGGGAGCGCAGGCGGUUUUUUAAGUCUGAUGUGAAAGCCUACGGCUUAACCGUAGUAGGGCAUUGGAAACUGGGAGACUUGAGUGCAGAAGAGGAGAGUGGAACUCCAUGUGUAGCGGUGAAAUGCGUAGAGAUAUGGAAGAACACCAGUGGCGAAAGCGGCUCUCUGGUCUGUAACUGACGCUGAGGUUCGAAAGCGUGGGUAUCAAACAGGAUUAGAUACCCGAGUAGUC
rnacentral:rRNA from 1 species